CCCUUCCUUCUCCUUUCACGUGCAGCAGCCCUAAGUCCUCUUCCCCGAUUCGAGCCGUCGCCCAGCCACCACUCUCCGUCACUCGUCCUCCGCGAGCCAGCCACCUCGCCUCUUUAGCCAACCCAACCCACGCUCGUCACGCCUCGCCGCAGAAGCUCGGCCCCCGGCCAUUUUGCCCAACCGAAACCCCACUCAGUCGUCCUUUCCCUUCAGCAAGCGCGCCACCCUUGCCAAGACCCAAUCUGCGCUCAUUCGUCGUUUUUGACUUUAGCUUUUGGCCGCCCUCCACACUCGCCUAGCUGCCGAUCGAAACGCAGCUGCUGCUACAACCGUCGACUCCAUCCCUGUCUCUGUUUCAACACUACUGUAGCCAAGGUACCGCCUGCGUCUGCACUAUUUACAUCGGUCCGACCAGCUUCAUCCGUCCAAUUCUGCCGUUUUUUUCUUUCGGUCACGACCGUCGCCGCCGCUGUCAUUGGGUCUCAUUGGAUUCUUGAAUAAUUUGGAUUCAAGGAUUUGGAGAUUUUGAGACAUUGCUUUGAAGUUUGAGACUAUUUCGAUAGAUUUGGUUGGAUUUGUGACUUACAGUUGUUGGGUUGUAUUGGUUGUAUUGAUUUUGUAGCAUGGGGUGCGUUCGGACCAACACAUUUUGGUCCUGAUUUAAGAUUCAUCUAGGCUAGGAGGAAGAUUAUUUUGCUCGUCGCUUAGACAUAAUUUUGGG